AUAUCGUCGUUCCCUGGAAAACCAGCUCCUCUAUUCUUCUCCGAUCUCCAUCUCCCAAUUCCCAAACCCUCCAAAACCAGCUACUUCUAUCUAAUAUCUAUGUCGCAGCAGCAAGGUCAAAUUCCAAUAAAUCCCAUGGUUCCCCAGCAGAACCCAAUGGCACCAUCCAUUCCUAUGCACAUGAACAUGCACAUGCAUAUCCCCAACAUGAACAUCAACAUGCCCAUGCCCAUGAGCAUGCCUCUUCCCAUGCAGAUGCAGAUGCACCAUAUUCCACUCCCUCACCACCAGCUUCCGCUCCAGGUUUCCUAUGACUCCUCCAUCGCCGGAACCCCAUCGUCCGGCGGCAAGCGCCGCCGUGAGGACGAGGCUCCCGGCACCGCCGCCGAUGCAGAUUUGUUUGCGGCGAAGCGCGCCAAGGGACAGGACGUGAUAUUCAGGAUUGUGGUUCCGUCAAGGCAGAUCGGGAAGGUCAUUGGGAAAGAAGGUUGCAGAAUACAGAAGAUUCGAGAAGCUACCAGAGCCACCAUCAAAAUCGCCGACGCUAUAGCUAGACAAGAAGNGCGUGUUAUCAUUAUUAGUUCUAAAGACAAUGAAGAAAAGGUUACUGACGCAGAGAAAGCUCUAGAGCAAAUAGCCAAUUUAAUUUUGAAGGAAGAUGAUAGCAAUCUUGAAGCAUUAAAAGUUGCAGUAGGACAUGUGGCUGCCAAUACAAUAAGACUCUUGAUUGCUGGGUCCCAGGCAGGUGGAUUGAUAGGGGUAUCUGGUCAAAACAUUGAGAAGUUGAGGAAUUCCUCUGGUGCCACAAUUACAGUUCUUGCACCAAACCAGUUGCCUUUAUGUGCUUCUGCCCUUGAAUCUGAUAGAGUUGUACAGCUAUCAGGAGAUGUUCCUGCAGUAAUGAAGGCUUUGGAGGAGAUAGGUUGUCAACUAAGGGAAAACCCCCCGAGACAAGUUAUUUCAAUCAGCCCAACAUAUAAUUAUGCUGCAAUUCGACCAUCACAAACAUAUCUUGAUCCAACUUCAGGACAACCAAUCUUGCAGUUGAUUAUGUUACGUUCGAGAUGCUGAUUUCGGAAACAAUGGUUGGUGGGUUGAUUGGUAGAUGCGGAUCAAAUAUAUCAAGGAUCAGAAGUGAGUCUGGAGCCAUGAUAAAGGUUUAUGGCGGAAAAGGUGAACAGAAGCAUAGGCAUAUUCAAUUUGGAGGCAGUGCUGAACAGGUAGCAUUGGCAAAACAGAGAGUUGAUGAAUAUAUAUACUCUCAGUUGAUACAACAAGCUGGCGCUCAACAAUCGACGUAAGUAAUCAAGAAUUUGGUCAACUGAACUUGUAAAACUAUUGUUAGAGUUAGCAAACAAGAAAGAGCCUUAUCCUUGUAAUAGCUACAUUUCUUUACUUCUUGUAAUUAACCCUUUUUUUCAAAAGGCAAGAUUUUGUGGCUCAUUGACAGUGCAAAAUUGUUUAGCGUUCUAGUUGAUUAAAUUAAAUUGGUCUUAUUAAAUGAUUAUUGGAUACAAGGUAUUCACGUCUGGCUUACAUUUUUUUGUUAUACCCUUUUUUUCACAAACAGAUGUUUCUAAAUAAAGUUGCAGCUUUUUUAGUUUA